rnacentral:rRNA from 1 species
UACGAAGGGGACUAGCGUUGUUCGGAAUCACUGGGCGUAAAGCGCACGUAGGCGGAUAUGUCAGUCAGGGGUGAAAUCCCGGGGGCUCAACCUCGGAACUGCCCUUGAUACAGCAUAUCUUGAGUCCGAUAGAGGUGGGUGGAAUUCCUAGUGUAGAGGUGAAAUUCGUAGAUAUUAGGAAGAACACCGGUGGCGAAGGCGGCCCACUGGAUCGGUACUGACGCUGAGGUGCGAAAGCGUGGGGAGCAAACAGG